rnacentral:rRNA from 1 species
AUUGAACGCUGGCGGCAGGCCUAACACAUGCAAGUCGAGCGAGCGGCGGACGGGUGAGUAAUGUCUGGGAAACUGCCUGAUGGAGGGGGAUAACUACUGGAAACGGUAGCUAAUACCGCAUACCAUCAGAUGUGCCCAGAUGGGAGUAUCUAGUAGGUGGGGUAACGGCUCACCUAGGCGACGAUCCAUAGCUGGUCUGGGAGGAUGACCAGCCACACGGGAACUGAGACACGGUCCAGAGUCCUACGGGAGGCAGCAGUGGGGAAUAGUGCACAGUGGGCGCAAGCCUGAUGCAGCCAUGCGGCGUGUGUGAAGAAGGCCUUCGGGGGGUAAAGCACUUUCAGCGGGGAGGCGUUACCCGCAGAAGAAGUACCGGCUAACUCCGUGCCAGCAGCCGCGGUAAUUC